CGGAGGAUCCAAGCGUUAUCCGGAAUCAUUGGGUUUAAAGGGUCCGUAGGCGGUUUUGUAGGUCAGUGGUGAAAGCCCAUCGCUCAACGGUGGAACGGCCAUUGAUACUGCAAGACUUGAAUUAUUGGGAAGUAACUAGAAUAUGUAGUGUAGCGGUGAAAUGCUUAGAGAUUACAUGGAAUACCAAUUGCGAAGGCAGGUUACUACCAAUAUAUUGACGCUGAUGGACGAAAGCGUGGGGAGCGAACAGGAUUAGAUACCCUGGUAGUCCACGCCGUAAACGAUGGAUACUAGCUGUUCGGAGCAAUCUGAGUGGCUAAGCGAAAGUGAUAAGUAUCCCACCUGGGGAGUACGUUCGCAAGAAUG
rnacentral:rRNA from 1 species